AUUGAACGCUGGCGGCAGGCCUAACACAUGCAAGUCGAGCGGGGUUUUCGGACCUAGCGGCGGACGGGUGAGUAAUGCGUAGGAAGCUGCCCGAUAGAGGGGGAUACCAGUUGGAAACGACUGUUAAUACCACAUAAUGUCUACGGACCAAAGUGUGGGACCUUCGGGCCACAUGCUAUCGGAUGCGCCUACGUGGGAUUAGCUAGUUGGUGAGGUAAUGGCUCACAAAGGCGACGAUCUCUAGCUGGUUUGAGAGGAUGAUCAGCCACACUGGAACGGAGAGACGGUCCAGACUCCUACGGGCGGCAGCAGUGGGGAAUAUUGGACAAUGGGCGCAAGCCGGAUCCAGCCAUGCCGCGUGUGUGAAGAAGGCCUUCGGGUUGUAAAGCACUUUCAGCGAGGAGGAAGGGUGGUGUGUUAAUAGCACAUCAUUUUGACGUUACUCGCAGAAGCAGCACCGGCUAACUCUGUGCCAGCCGCCGCCGUAAUAC
rnacentral:rRNA from 1 species